UACGUAGGGGGCCAGCGUUGCUCGGAAUUACUGGGCGUAAAGGGUUCGUAGGCGGCCACUUAAGUCAGACGUGAAAUCCCUCAGCUUAACUGGGGAACUGCGUCUGAUACUGAGUGGCUUGAGUGCAGGAGAGGAAUGCGGAAUUCCAGGUGUAGCGGUGAAAUGCGUAGAUAUCUGGAGGAACACCGGUGGCGAAGGCGGCAUUCUGGACUGUAACUGACACUGAGGAACGAAAGCCAGGGGAGCAAACGGG
rnacentral:rRNA from 1 species